GACGAACGCUGGCGGCGCGCCUAACACAUGCAAGUCGAACGAGCGAGAGAGAGCUUGCUUUCUCGAGCGAGUGGCGAACGGGUGAGUAACGCGUGAGGAACCUGCCUCAAAGAGGGGGACAACAGUUGGAAACGACUGCUAAUACCGCAUAAGCCCACGGGUCGGCAUCGACCAGAGGGAAAAGGAGCAAUCCGCUUUGAGAUGGCCUCGCGUCCGAUUAGCUAGUUGGUGAGGUAAUGGCCCACCAAGGCGACGAUCGGUAGCCGGACUGAGAGGUUGAACGGCCACAUUGGGACUGAGACACGGCCCAGACUCCUACGGGAGGCAGCAGUGGGGAAUAUUGCACAAUGGGGGAAACCCUGAUGCAGCGACGCCGCGUGGAGGAAGAAGGUCUUCGGAUUGUAGACUCCUGUUGU
rnacentral:rRNA from 1 species